GCGGACUAGAGUGUAGGUGCAAAACGUUGGAAGAUUGAGCUAAAUCCGAGAUUGCUGGCAGCUAGCACCCAUCAUGGCAUCGAAAAACAUAACGGUAAAAAUUCAGUCACAAGGAUGGUGAUCAUUCCGCUGAGGCUACUCUUGUUUCUGUCUUUCAAGUACUGAUAUUUAAAGGAUUCAUUUUGCCGCUCAAUGCCAUUGUUGGUGUUCACACUAACAAGGAAUCUUUCUUGGCGUUUUACUGUACCUUGGCCUCUGUCAACCAUGUUUUUUCAAACCAGUUGCGUAGUUGAGGAUUAGACAGCCACACGUCACCAGUCUGUAAAGAUCUGACAUUCUCUUGAUAGGCAUUUUCCGUUGAAGACUUUGCCACUUUACGAAGUGACUGAAGGACCUCCUCCCGUUUAUCCCUAAACCCAUUAUCUGCUUUACGGAGCCAUCUCUCCCAGCUUUGCUCGCGAUGAAAAUCACAGACAUAAGUUAUUGUACCUAGAGAAAGUUGGAAUGGUUAUUUCUGUUACAAAGAUAAUAAGGAUAAAUUAUUUACAGUAUAGUGGAAAGAUUGAGAGAUGACAACAAUGUCCAUCUUAAGUAAACAGACAAAUGCAAUAGUGAAUGUAAAUGAAAUUUCAGGACCUGUGAAAGAAAAAUGUUAAGUUCAGGUCUGGUGCUUAACUUUGUAUUAAUUAUUACCCUCCAAUCAAGUCAAAAAAAA